UAUGGAAUGGAGUAGAGGAAUCUCAUUAGGUUCAUAACCUAAAGGUCACAGGUUCAAAUCCUGUUUCCAUUGCCA
rnacentral:tRNA from 1 species